CGCCGCCAGCACAAUGAUGAUGUCACUGACUCUACUGCUGGGCACCCUGGGGCUCCUUGUUCAGGGUUCAUCAGGACAAAUCAUCAUGACUCAGUCUCCUGGAUUUCACUCUGCUGCUCCAGGACAGACUGUCUCCAUUGGAUGUAAAACCAGUUCAAGUGUUAGUAGCAAUCUCAGCUGGUACCUUCAGAAGUCUGGAGAAGCUCCUAAACUCCUGAUUUAUUCAGCUACAAGUCGUCAGUCUGGAGUUUCAGAUCGUUUUAGUGGAAGUGGAUCUGGGACUGAUUUCACUCUGACCAUCAGUAGAGUUCAGACUGAAGAUGCAGGAGUCUAUUAUUGUCAGCAGUAUCAAAGCUUGCCGUUCACACAGUGA